UACCUCGGACCUACCGUCAUUAUUUUUGC
rnacentral:sRNA from 1 species